CCUUUGUACACACCGCCCGUCGCUACUACCGAUUGAAUGGUUUAGUGAGACCUUCGGAUCGGCGUUCGGCAGCUGGCAACAGCAGCUGAUCGCUGAGAAGUUUGUCAAACUUGGUCAUUUAGAGG
rnacentral:rRNA from 1 species